GGGGACAACAGUUGGAAACGACUGCUAAUACCGCAUAAAAUAACGGAAUCGCAUGAUUCUGUUAUCAAAGGAGAAAUCCGCUGAAAGAUGGGCUCGCGUCUGAUUAGAUAGUUGGUGAGGUAACGGCCCACCAAGUCGACGAUCAGUAGCCGGACUGAGAGGUUGAACGGCCACAUUGGGACUGAGACACGGCCCAGACUCUUACGGGAGGCAGCAGUGGGGGAUAUUGGACAAUGGGGGAAACCCUGAUCCAGCGAUGCCGCGUGAGGGAAGAAGGUUUUCGGAUUGUAAACCUCUGUGGACAGGGACGAUAAUGACGGUACCUGUCAAGAAAGCCACGGCUAACUACGUGCCAGCAGCCGCGGUAAUACGUAGGUGGCGAGCGUUGUCCGGAAUUACUGGGUGUAAAGGGAGUGUAGGCGGGAAGGCAAGUCAGAAGUGAAAAUUAUGGGCUCAACCCAUAACCUGCUUUUGAAACUGUUUUUCUUGAGUGAAGCAGAGGCAAGCGGAAUUCCUAGUGUAGCGGUGAAAUGCGUAGAUAUUAGGAGGAACACCAGUGGCGAAGGCAGCUUGCUGGGCUUUUACUGACGCUGAGGCUCGAAAGCGUGGGGAGCAAACAGGAUUAGAUACCCUGGUAGUCCACGCCGUAAACGAUGAUUACUAGGUGUGGGGGGAUGAACCCUUCCGUGCCGGAG
rnacentral:rRNA from 1 species